UCUUUGGUAGUGUAUUGGUUAAUACACAUGCAUGUCAUAGAAUUUAUAUCACAUUGAGUGCUGCGUAAAAGCUGGGUUCAACUCCCAGCCAGAGAU